UGAAUCAAAAUUAAUGACAGUAUAGAAAGAUCUCUGUGUUAAAAAUGUAUAGAGUAAUACAUUAUAUCUGUAAAAUUUUAAAUAUAAUUCUUUUUUUAAAUACAGAAAAAUCUAUGGCAUAUUGAAUCAUAAUUGACAAAAUACAGCAAUUUAGAACAAAUCUGGUUGAAUUUUCAGGCUAUUUAAACAUUCAUUUUUUUUAAUGCAGGUUCAUAAUAACAGUAGAAAAUUUUGGAUUUUUUUUUGUCUCACAUUUGAGGGAUAAAUAUGUUUGAGUAGAAUGAGCUAAAAAAUCAAUUUCAAUAUUCUCUUUACUUAUUUAUCAUAAGAUAGUCUCAGUCUAUGAAAUUUGAAAUAUGAAACAUGGCUAACCAAUAGAAUGAGAUAUUGAUUUAUUAUCAAAAUAUCUUUUCUGAAUUUGUGAUCCUGAGUAUCAUUGAGUGUAUUCUUAAGCAGUAUUAGAAAGUUAUUUUUUCUCUCUGUAGCACUGUAUUUAUGAACAAUAUGUGAAAGAAACAACUACUUAUCCAUCCUAAAUUAAUCAAUCCUUAAUUAUUAAGUUAUUUUGACUUCUAUUAAAACCCUAUUUCUAUAAUAUUAUAUCAUACAAUUAACUCUAGUGAAUGGAAUUUAGGUCAUAAAAAAAGUAAACAAUUGAACAUCUUUGGAAAGCAGUUGUUAUAUAUAAACAUUUUGUUUCAUUGGGCUAAUAGACAUAAUACAUAUGUUAUUUUGCCAUAUUGAAUUAUAGCCCUGUGGAAAAAGUUAGCUAAAUUUUAGUUAUAAUAAAACUUACAAGUUUUGAUAAUCUUCUAGAAUCCUACUAAUUGGUCUGAAUUGUACUAAAAGAAAUUUUAAUUGAAAGCUAUAAUUAUGCAGUUUAAUAUUUGACCCUCAACAUUUGAUAGAAUAGAAAUAAUAGGUGUUGUGGGGCAUGGACAAUGCCCCUCAUGUAAAUAACCAAAUAACAGCUUAUGUCAAAUUGUCUCAGUAUACUCUAAAUUCUUUCUUUUUACCCAGAUUUAUAUUUAUCAUAGAAAAUGGUAACACAUUUGAAUAAAAAUUCUGUAUUUGAUUUCAGUUGUACUUAAUAUAUGCAAUGAGAUGUUACUUCUGCAUAGUUUUAAAUUCAUAUAAAUUAAUCAGGAUUUUAAAGAGCUUGUGUAAAGGGAUAAGACUGUAUAAAUAAUUGUACUUAACAUAUAAUUACUUUAAAUUUUUAAUCUUUCCUUUGAAAAUAAAUCCCUCUAGAAUUCAUUUAGAAAUUUUAAACAACUUAUCCUCUUUGACCAAAUAGACCAAACAUGAUAUCCAUAAAUAGACACUGGUAUCUGCACAUCAGCUGCGUAAAGAGUGGUAAAGUAGGCUCUGUGAAAGAUGAAACACUUUUACAGUGAUAAGAAGGUAAAACUACUUUGCUUUGUGGAUAAUGUGUAUAAAAUAUAGCAUUGUGAAUGUUUGGAAAGUAUACAAAUGAGAAAAUUAAUGGGCACUUUAUUGUCUUAUUCUUUUAAUUUAUUUAAAAUUUUCACAAAGGAAAAGCCCUAUUUUUUUUUUAAUUAUGGAUUCUUCUUUAAGCAUCUGGUUAAUGUCAAAAUUUAAACAAUGCAGUGAUUAUUGGGGGGGCAAAAUUGACUCCGUCGCUGUUCUGUUACUUAUUGCUCUAGCAAUAAAAGAGCAGAUGUUUGCCUCAUAUAUGAAUUAUUUUAAUAGUUUUCAUUAGGUCUUUGUCUGUAGUUUGUCAGGGUGGUUUUACAGAUAUAUUCAACCAUCUGUUCUUUGGACCUGUACUUCAUGUGACUUACAGGAUUGUAUUAAUUUCAUUGGAUUAGUCAUUAAUUCAAUCUGAAGUUUGUUUGCCCUGGGAGUGUUCCAAAAAAGAGAAACUUCAUCAAUAAAAAAUAGCUGCCCUUUUACUAAAUAACAAUUCCAUUUAUUUUUAAUUACAGAUUUUAGAAAUGCAUGUUACAGAAUGGUUUUUGGUUUCCAGACUUUAAAAUUUGUUUUCCUCAGAGUUUCUAUGAGCAAUACUCAGAAACAUCCAUUGCCAGUAUUUUUAAGAAUUUGCUUUUUCUGGCAAAAGGAGUAAUAUAACUUUGUAUCUUUAUUAUCCCAUUUCUGAAAUGACAUAUUAUUAAACUUUUAUGGAAUACUAUGGAUUUCUGACUGGAAAAAAUUAAAUGUAUGAGAUGUGAUAUUUAUGAUAAAAGCAAUUUUCUUAUGAUCUCACUUCUGUAGACUAGCAAAUGAAGCAGCAUUGGAAACCGCAUCAGCUCCCUCAGUAACUGGGCUGUUUCCUGAAAGCUAGGUAAAAUUAAUCCUAUCUUUCAGAAAUUCCUUUCUCACACUGAGAAUAAUCUUCGGUCAAGCUUUUUUCUUGUGUAGCUGUUGGAGAAAGUAACCAAAAGAACAUAAAGGUCAGUUGAUCUAUGAGCUGGACCUGGGCAGUCAGAGCUCCUCACUCCCACCACAGUCUUUGGAAUGUCCUUUUCCUCACUGUUCCCACAAUGGGAGCUGUUCCAAGGACAUAGCCUUGAGACUAUGUGGAUGGUUCAUAUGACUGAACUGAGUGAAGGCUGCUACAUAAGUUUUAAGACUUGGCGGGCGGGUGCAGAGAUCUUGUUUUGUGGCCACUCAAGACAAGCCUUGCAUUUAUUGAGCACUACCUAUACAGCAGGCACUGUGCUAAGUAUGCCCUGAGGAUUAAAUGGAAGAUUGUGAUACAGUCUUGUCCUGAUGGAUUUACUGCUUCACCAGCCAAUUUCUAGGAAUUCUGGAACCAGACUCUAAGUGCAAAGAAGCCAACUAAGCCUGCCAUUAGGCUGGUGAACAGAAGAAAAAGGCAUACAAUAUGUUUGGAAGCACUUUAGUCCAGUGCAGUGAAACAAGACAUCGAAUGGUUCCAAGCCAGCUAAGAAUUGGUUUUAAAGGAACAGCAAGAUAAAGUUGCUGAUUUUCAGAGAUAUUUUCAGCUUCAGAUUUCUAUCAUAAAAAUGAGAAAGCAGAAGUGGACAAUCAAUCAGAAGAUGCUGCUGAGGUCUCACUGAUGCUCUCCACUGUUUUCUCAAGUCCAGAGCCUACUUGUCAAGGAUGGCCUCCCUGGCAGGAACAGCCCACUGUGCCAUCUCUCUGGUGAAGGGGAAGCCAUGCUCCUCAAAUCAGACUUUUAUAAAGUAGUUAAGGAAGAAUUUAAUACUGGGAAAUUCAGACAACUUUAAGAGACAAUUGAAGGUCAAUCUGACUUUGGGAAAGGAGUUUGGCACACAAGAACCACCAAUGGCUUUAAGCAAAGAAGAUUCUUUGACAAAAUGAUAAUCUGCAAAAUCAGGAGGCUAUCUAAAGGAGGGAAUCAAGAAAAAAAG